rnacentral:rRNA from 1 species
AGUGAACGCUGGCGGUACGUCUAACACAUGCAAGUCGAACGGCAGCACAGUAAGAGCAUGCUCUUACGGGUGGCGAGUGGCGGACGGGUGAGGAAUACAUCGGAAUCUACUUUUUCGUGGGGGAUAACGUAGGGAAACUUACGCUAAUACCGCAUACGACCUACGGGUGAAAGCAGGGGAUCUUCGGACCUUGCGCGAUUGAAUGAGCCGAUGUCGGAUUAGCUAGUUGGCGGGGUAAAGGCCCACCAAGGCGACGAUCCGUAGCUGGUCUGAGAGGAUGAUCAGCCACACUGGAACUGAGACACGGUCCAGACUCCUACGGGAGGCAGCGGUGGGGAAUAUUGGACAAUGGGCGCAAGCCUGAUCCAGCCAUACCGCGUGGGUGAAGAAGGCCUUCGGGUUGUAAAGCCCUUUUGUUGGGAAAGAAAAGCAGCAGGUUAAUACCCCGCUGUUCUGACGGUACCCAAAGAAUAGGCACCGGCUAACUUCGUG